UAACGUCUCAACAUGCCAUACAUAAACAGCUUGUCCCUGAUUUACGGGGAGUGAUGGCCACCAUCUAGCACUGCUCAAGGAGAUUAGUGGCUGCUUUUCCAACCCUAUUUCAAGCCUCGAGGAGGUUUGCUGUUCGUCAAAAGUGUUCCUAAGCUCAGCCAGGCACCAAGAUGAAUGUUUUCUUGGCAGAGCCUCUUCUCCCAUUGGAAGGGAGAGGGCUCCUGAGGACCCUCGCCCACAUGGGACACACCUGCAAGGAGCAGAACCAGCUUGGGGGUCCCAAACCUGCACUUGCAUGAAAGACCAAUGAUACAUAACGUAAAGAAAUGGCUCUGGAGCAUAGAAAUAUAAAUGGAGAGAUCACUCAGGUAGGAGUAGAAGGGGGAGAGAAAAAUCAAUUGGGGAACGUGCUGGUUAGCAGCUAAAUGUUCUCCGCCAACAACAUUCCCAACGAAGGGCGAUUUAUCAGCCCAGCCAAAGCUGCUGUGGGCUGUGCUGCUGAACAGACGGAACUCCCAAUAACGGGACCCGGCUUCCUCGGAGCGCUCUGCAUUGCGCAUGAAAGGAUAUGGCCAAACUCUUCACCUGGUGGACUUGGAGGGGAGGCAGCGGGGAGAGAAGAGGAGCGGGCAGCCGUGAGGGCAACUUCUGCCGUGACUCUUGCUUACAGGAUCGGAUUUAAAGGGCUAGAAUCCCAAUUUGGUGGUGCUGCUCCCCAGGAGCGAUGCUCACCGGCCCUGUCCUGCCGGCUCCAGCAGCAGCUCGGUGCCCAUAGGAACCAUCCUGGUGAUCUGGUGGCAGCAGGAGUUCCUCGGUGGCAGCAGCAACAAACUGUAAAUCAAGGUGUUGGAUAGCCGGCACGGCCGCCCGCAAGCAGCGAUGCUAUUGGCAGUGCAUUGAGAUGGAGAGCCAGAGGGAGGAAAGUUUGCUCUCUACGAGCUCCUGGCAGCACAGUGAAGCAGGAGGAGGGUCUUGCCCUGGUCUUAGCGCUGUCACCUCUCUUGGAUGCCGGUGUUGGUGCCCAAAGGCUCUGCCCUGUGUGCUGGAUGGCCACAGGAAGGGUUACGUCACCCCAUGGGAGUGCUCCCACUUGGACAUGGGAAUGCUUGCUCAUGCCAAGGCAGCUGAAGAGGAGCUGGUGCCGGUGGGGGCGUGAGCUUCCCAACUACUGGGGCCCUGCAAGAGGCCUUCAGGUCUCCAUGAAGAUGUCCAUCUCAAGGUUUUGGAGCAUCCUGUCCUUUUCACCAUGGCACAUAUUGUGGAAACGUGCAGUCAGGAGUUGCUGGAUUCCUUUCCUACUGCUUCCCCAGCGAAGAGGUGCAGAAGAUUGAGUGCAAAGUGUGGAGUGCAGCUUGGCCC
rnacentral:lncRNA from 1 species